rnacentral:rRNA from 1 species
UGGGGAAUAUUGCACAAUGGGCGCAAGCCUGAUGCAGCGACGCCGCGUGAGGGAUGACGGCCUUCGGGUUGUAAACCUCUUUCAAUAGGGACGAAGCGCAAGUGACGGUACCUAUAGAAGAAGGACCGGCCAACUACGUGCCAGCAGCCGCGGUAAUACGUAGGGUCCGAGCGUUGUCCGGAAUUACUGGGCGUAAAGAGCUCGUAGGUGGUUUGUCGCGUUGUUCGUGAAAACUCACAGCUUAACUGUGGGCGUGCGGGCGAUACGGGCAGACUAGAGUACUGCAGGGGAGACUGGAAUUCCUGGUGUAGCGGUGGAAUGCGCAGAUAUCAGGAGGAACACCGGUGGCGAAGGCGGGUCUCUGGGCAGUAACUGACACUGAGGAGCGAAAGCGUGGGGAGCGAACAGGAUUAGAUACCCUGGUAGUCCACGCCGUAAACGGUGGGUACUAGGUGUGGGUUUCCUUCCUUGGGAUCCGUGCCGUAGCUAACGCAUUAAGUACCCCGCCUGGGGAGUACGGCCGCAAGGCUAAAACUCAAAUGAAUUGACGGGGUCAUAGCUG